AAAUUGAAGAGUUUGAUCAUGGCUCAGAUUGAACGCUGGCGGCAGGCCUAACACAUGCAAGUCGAACGGUAACAGGAAGCAGCUUGCUGCUUCGCUGACGAGUGGCGGACGGGUGAGUAAUGUCUGGGAAACUGCCUGAUGGAGGGGGAUAACUACUGGAAACGGUGGCUAAUACCGCAUAACGUCGCAAGACCAAAGAGGGGGACCUUCGGGCCUCUUGCCAUCAGAUGUGCCCAGAUGGGAUUAGCUUGUUGGUGAGGUAACGGCUCACCAAGGCGACGAUCCCUAGCUGGUCUGAGAGGAUGACCAGCCACACUGGAACUGAGACACGGUCCAGACUCCUACGGGAGGCAGCAGUGGGGAAUAUUGCACAAUGGGCGCAAGCCUGAUGCAGCCAUGCCGCGUGUAUGAAGAAGGCCUUCGGGUUGUAAAGUACUUUCAGCGGGGAGGAAGGUGUUGCGGUUAAUAACCGCAGCAAUUGACGUUACCCGCAGAAGAAGCACCGGCUAACUCCGUGCCAGCAGCCGCGGUAAUACGGAGGGUGCAAGCGUUAAUCGGAAUUACUGGGCGUAAAGCGCACGCAGGCGGUCUGUCAAGUCGGAUGUGAAAUCCCCGGGCUCAACCUGGGAACUGCAUUCGAAACUGGCAGGCUUGAGUCUUGUAGAGGGGGGUAGAAUUCCAGGUGUAGCGGUGAAAUGCGUAGAGAUCUGGAGGAAUACCGGUGGCGAAGGCGGCCCCCUGGACAAAGACUGACGCUCAGGUGCGAAAGCGUGGGGAGCAAACAGGAUUAGAUACCCUGGUAGUCCACGCCGUAAACGAUGUCUACUUGGAGGUUGUGCCCUUGAGGCGUGGCUUCCGGAGCUAACGCGUUAAGUAGACCGCCUGGGGAGUACGGCCGCAAGGUUAAAACUCAAAUGAAUUGACGGGGGCCCGCACAAGCGGUGGAGCAUGUGGUUUAAUUCGAUGCAACGCGAAGAACCUUACCUGGUCUUGACAUCCACAGAACUUUCCAGAGAUGGAUUGGUGCCUUCGGGAACUGUGAGACAGGUGCUGCAUGGCUGUCGUCAGCUCGUGUUGUGAAAUGUUGGGUUAAGUCCCGCAACGAGCGCAACCCUUAUCCUUUGUUGCCAGCGAUUAGGUCGGGAACUCAAAGGAGACUGCCAGUGAUAAACUGGAGGAAGGUGGGGAUGACGUCAAGUCAUCAUGGCCCUUACGACCAGGGCUACACACGUGCUACAAUGGCGCAUACAAAGAGAAGCGACCUCGCGAGAGCAAGCGGACCUCAUAAAGUGCGUCGUAGUCCGGAUUGGAGUCUGCAACUCGACUCCAUGAAGUCGGAAUCGCUAGUAAUCGUGGAUCAGAAUGCCACGGUGAAUACGUUCCCGGGCCUUGUACACACCGCCCGUCACACCAUGGGAGUGGGUUGCAAAAGAAGUAGGUAGCUUAACCUUCGGGAGGGCGCUUACCACUUUGUGAUUCAUGACUGGGGUGAAGUCGUAACAAGGUAACCGUAGGGGAACCUGC
rnacentral:rRNA from 1 species